UCAACAUUUAUGUGGGCGUUAAACAUU
rnacentral:sRNA from 1 species